UAGGGAAUCUUCGGCAAUGGACGAAAGUCUGACCGAGCAACGCCGCGUGAGUGAAGAAGGUUUUCGGUUCGUAAAACUCCGUUGUUAGAGAAGAACAAGGACGUUAGUAACUGAACGUCCCCUGACGGUAUCUAACCAGAAAGCCACGGCUAACUACGUGCCAGCAGCCGCGGUAAUACGUAGGUGGCAAGCGUUGUCCGGAUUUAUUGGGCGUAAAGCGAGCGCAGGCGGUUUCUUAAGUCUGAUGUGAAAGCCCCCGGCUCAACCGGGGAGGGUCAUUGGAAGCUGGGAGACUUGAGUGCAGAAGAGGAGAGUGGAAUUCCAUGUGUAGCGUUGAAAUGCGUAGAUAUAUGGAGGAACACCAGUGGCGAAGGCGGCUCUCUGGUCUGUAACUGACGCUGAGGCUAGAAAGCGUGGGGAGCAAACAGG
rnacentral:rRNA from 1 species